rnacentral:rRNA from 1 species
GUUAUCUGGUUGAUCCUGCCAGUAUUAUAUGCUUCUGUUAAAGAUUAAGCCAUGCAUGUCUAAGCAUAAAGUCCUUGAAAGAUGAAGCUGCGAACGGCUCAUUACAACAGUUAUAAUCUUUUUGAUGAAGUACGUACAAGGAUAUCUUUGAGAAUGUCAAAGCUAAUACUUGACGGUUUACACCUCCUGUCGAGUCUACUCCUUUUAGGGGUAAAAUCGAUAGGGGCGGGGGAGGCUUCAUGCAUCCUCUACAUAUUACCACCUUUUUUUGAAUAAGGGUGGAUAUAUGCCAAGAGAAUUGUAGAAAUCGAAAGAUUUUCACAAGUCAUCAUUAAGAAUAUCUGACCUAUCAACUGGUUGUUGGUAAGGUAGUGGCUUACCAAGGUAAUAACGGGUAACGAGGAAUAAGGGUUCGACAUCGGAGAGGGAGCUUUAGAAAUGGCUACCACUUCUAAGGAAGGCAGCAGGCGCGAAAAUUACCCAAUCUUAACAAAUGAAGGAGGUAGUGACGACAAUUAACGCUAUCUCUCGUCUUUUGGCGAGGAUCGUCGGAAUGAUUUCGAUUUAAAAUAUCGAAAGAAAGCAAUUGGAGGGCAAGUCUGGUGCCAGCAGCCGCGGUAAUUCCAGCUCCAAUAGUGUAUUGUAAAGUUGUUGUGAUUAAAACGCUCGUAGUUGAAUGAAAACAAUCGAGACGUGAUUUACGUUCUCUCGGUCAUACGAUGGAUUCGUCCAUCCGGCCGAGUUGAACUGCAAUCGCAUAACGUCUCAUAAUAAGCGGGAGUUUGUUUACUCAAACUCUUUUACUUUGAUUAAAUCAAGGUGCUUAAAGCAAAAUCUUCUGUUAAUGAAUGAUGAAGCAUGGUAUAGAAUUAAAACAGAACAGAAAGAAAAACGAAUAAAUGGAGAUGGGCAACCAUUCGAAAUUUAUUUAUUUUUGUUUUGUUUAAAACAAGGUUAAGAGAAAUGAUUAGGGUGAUUUAGAUAGGAACGGGAGAGGUGGAAUUCCAUGAUCUUUUCGAGAUAAACGAGAGCGAAAGCAUUUCACUGAAUUCAUUUCAUUAAUCAAGAACGAAAGUCAGGGAAUCAAAGACGAUUAGAUACCGUCGUAGUCCUGACCAUAAACGAUGUCAACUAAGGAUUGGAUAAGAAAUAUCGAAGUAUUGAGUACUCACUCGGUCACAUCAGUGACUGGAUGAGUAUUUGACUUCAAAUCUUCCCUUAUUCAGGACUUGAUGAGAAAUCAUUAAGUGAAUGGACUUCAGGGGGAGUAUGGUCACAAGGCUGAAACUUAAAGGAAUUGACGGAAGGGCACACCAGGAGUGGAGCCUGCGGCUUAAUUUGACUCAACACGGGAAAACUUACCAAGACCAAACGGUGUAAGGAAUGACAGAUUACUGGGUCUUUCAUGAUUCAUCGGGGAGUGGUGCAUGGCCGUUCUUAGUUCGUGGACUGAUUUGUCUGGUUAAUUCCGAUAACGAACGAGACUUGAACUUAUUAAUUAGUUGAGCAAGAAUCAUUUUCGGAUGGUUUUGCUUACUGUCGUAAGGCAGAAUGGUGGAAUUUUGUUUUACCAUUACUUCUUAAAGGGACACAUCUUUAAUCUUUCCGGGUAUUCACAAGAACCUAAGCCUAGCUUAGAAAUGUGAAUAUCUGGAAAAAAGAAGAAGGAAGCGUCAAGCAAUAACAGGUCUGUGAUGCCCUUAGACAUCUUGGGCUGCACGCGUGCUACAAUGAAAGUACUAACGAGUCCCCGCUGGUAGCAGUGGUCUGGAUCUUUCGGGAUUCGGGCUAUUGCAGCCAGCAUUUUCCUAGUCCGAAAGGAUAAGGAAAGCUCUAAUGUCUUUUUUAAUUCUUGACUGGGAUGAAUGAUUGGAAUUAUUUGUUCUGAACAAGGAAUUCCUUGUAAGCGCAAGUCAUUACCUUGCGCUGAAUAAGUCCCUGCCCUUUGUACACACCGCCCGUCGCUCCUACCGAUUGAAUAAAGAGGUGAAAUGUCAGGAUUCUGGUGAUUUAUCAUUGGGAAAAUGAUAGUAAAUCUCUUUGUUUAGAGGAAGGAGAAGUCGUAACAAGGUUUCCGUAGGUGAACCUGGGGAAGGAUAA